UUUUUCUUUUAAAGAAUAAUCACGAUUUGCAAUCCGGAACUCCGGAACGGGAAUCAAAGGUCUAAACGAUAGCUAUUGUUCGCUUUCUCAAGAGCUAAGAUUUUAAAACCAGAUUGCUGUAAGAUUUUACUAUACUGACUUACUCUAUUUUAGACAAGAAGCAAAACGAUAUAGUCGGUGACAAUUUCUAGUAUGUUCAAAAAUCCCACAGCAGAAAUGUUUAGAAUUUUGAAUAAACAAGACGAUAUGAAAUAUGAAUUUAAAUGGAAAUUCCAAACAGUCAGAGCAGGAUCUGAGAUAAUAUCUCCUCCUAAAAGUCCAACCGAAAGAGUGCCUGUUACAAAUAUUGCCAUUUUUCCAAGGAUUUUUCUUUAAAAAAAGAAAGAGACCUGAAAUUUCUGUAGAAAUAGACAACUUUGCCUCAAAAUCACUAAAGGAACAAUGCUUCGAAUUCUUCUACGAAAUUUGCAUCGCAACAAAAGCGAAAACUCUUUGUAACAAGGUUUACUGAUAGCCUUGAGGAAUAAGCAUGUAGUUGAAAUGUAGAAUACGUACGUAAUAUAUAAUUUUUUAUAUUAAAA